GACGAACGCUGGCGGCGUGCUUAACACAUGCAAGUCGAGCGGUAAGGCCCUUUCGGGGUACACGAGCGGCGAACGGGUGAGUAACACGUGGGUGACCUGCCCUCAGCUCUGGGAUAAGCCCGGGAAACUGGGUCUAAUACCGGAUAUGACUUCAUGACGCAUGUUGUGGAGUGGAAAGCCUUGUGCGGCUGAGGAUGGGCCCGCGGCCUAUCAGCUUGUUGGUGGGGUGAUGGCCUACCAAGGCGACGACGGGUAGCCGGCCUGAGAGGCGACCGGCCACACUGGGACUGAGAUACGGCCCAGACUCCUACGGGAGGCAGCAGUGGGAAUCUUGCGCAAUGGGCGAAAGCCUGACGCAGCGACGCCGCGUGAGGGAUGACGGCC
rnacentral:rRNA from 1 species